rnacentral:rRNA from 1 species
GAUGAACGCUAGCGGCAGGCCUAACACAUGCAAGUCGAGGGGCAUCAUGGCGUAGCAAUACGCUGAUGGCGACCGGCGCACGGGUGCGUAACGCGUAUGGAACCUACCCACCGCAGGGGGAUAACCCGCCGAAAGGCGGACUAAUACCCCAUGGUUCCCCGACCCUGCCUGGGGUUGGGGGUAAAGCCUACGGGCGGCGGUGGAUGGCCCUGCGUGCCAUUAGCUGGCUGGUGGGGUAACGGCCCACCAGGGCGACGAUGGCUAGGGGGUCUGAGAGGACGAUCCCCCACACUGGUACUGAGACACGGACCAGACUCCUACGGGAGGCAGCAGUGAGGAAUAUUGGUCAAUGGGCGGAAGCCUGAACCAGCCAUGCCGCGUGCAGGAUGACGGCCCUACGGGUUGUAAACUGCUUUUCUCAAGGGAAAAAGAUGAUGGUACCUGAGGAAUAAGCCCCGGCUAACUACGUGCCAGCAGCCGCGGUAAGCACGAGAGUA